UCCAGAUUCGUUCCCUCUUUAAACAUGAUUGUACUGUUCAGAUCAAAUCACGAUGAAAGGUCCAGAUUCAUUUCAUCUUUAAACGUGAUCGGACGGUCGAGAUCAAACGCGAUGAAUGAUCCAGAUUAAAGAGAGACAGGUAUAAAUAUCUCAUUUCACACUGAACCCUAAUCCUAGCUGCUAGCCCCCCGCUGGAGAAGAAGAACCAGUUGACAGACAAGGGAUCCGACGCCGCCCGCCACCGUGCCAGAGCCAGCUCCAACCACCAAAAAAGGUAAAAGUUUUCUCAUUCGCUCGAAAUUUAAUUUUGAACACCCUUAUGGCUAAAUCUGAGCAAAAGGACUAACGAAUGAUACUAAAACCAUGGGUAAAGCCUGGCAACACCGCCGCGAAAAAAUCAAAAAUAGCCCCGAUGAGUCCCUUCUCGAUUAUCAUUUCAUGUGAUUUUUUGUACAUUAUAUUCACCAUCCUGUUUUCUAAAGGUUGAUCAAAGAAAAAUACCCAACCGUGAAGUUGAGCUGAUGGAGUUGCCGCACCGAAAAAAUCAUGUCGUCAGU
rnacentral:lncRNA from 1 species